rnacentral:rRNA from 1 species
UGGGGAAUAUUGCACAAUGGGCGCAAGCCUGAUGCAGCCAUGCCGCGUGUAUGAAGAAGGCCUUCGGGUUGUAAAGUACUUUCAGUCGGGAGGAAGGUGUCAAGGUUAAUAACCUUGGCAAUUGACGUUACCGACAGAAGAAGCACCGGCUAACUCCGUGCCAGCAGCCGCGGUAAUACGGAGGGUGCAAGCGUUAAUCGGAAUUACUGGGCGUAAAGCGCACGCAGGCGGUUUGUUAAGUCAGAUGUGAAAUCCCCGGGCUCAACCUGGGAACUGCAUCUGAUACUGGCAAGCUUGAGUCUCGUAGAGGGGGGUAGAAUUCCAGGUGUAGCGGUGAAAUGCGUAGAGAUCUGGAGGAAUACCGGUGGCGAAGGCGGCCCGCUGGACGAAGACUGACGCUCAGGUGCGAAAGCGUGGGGAGCGAACAGG